UGUGUGUGUGUGUGUGUGUGUGUCUGUGUGUGUACAUAUAUAUGUAUACACACACACACACACACACACACACACACA
rnacentral:miRNA from 1 species